rnacentral:rRNA from 1 species
AUGAGUCAAGGAGUCGUGCGAGUUUGCACGGUUAGUUGUCGUUGCGUCUGUGAGUCGUCGUCGUGUCCAAGUGCUCGUCUUGGUGAUGAUUCGUUGGAGUGGAUGCAGUGUGCACGGUGUUCCGUGAGUCAUGUCCAUGUCCUCGUGAAGCAUCCUGGUUGCGGCCAGUGUGGAUUCGGUGUGAUGCCGAAGGCGGACGAUGGUAGGCGAAGCCAUCGUAAAGCGAGGAGGUGUGCAAGCAGUGGAGAGUGCAUCUAUUGCAAGCAAGUACAAGGAGUAUGGUGCGGACCGAGUGCAAGGCAGCGGGCAAGCAAUGGCGGUGGCACAACAUGA